GACGAACGCUGGCGGCGUGCUUAACACAUGCAAGUCGAACGGAAAGGCCUGCUUUCCCUUGUGGAUUGCGGGUACUCGAGUGGCGAACGGGUGAGUAACACGUGAGUGAUCUGCCCCCAACUUGGGUAUAAGCCUGGGAAACUGGGUCUAAUUCCCGAUAGGACUGCAGGGUGGUGCCUGCGGUGGAAAACGAUUUUCUAGUGGUUGGGGAUGAGCUCGCGGCCUAUCAGCUUGUUGGUGGGGUAAUGGCCUACCAAGGCGGCGACGGGUAGCCGGCCUGAGAGGGUGGACGGCAACAUUGGGACUGAGAUACGGCCCAGACUCCUACGGGAGGCAGCAGUGGGGAAUAUUGCACAAUGGGCGGAAGCCUGAUGCAGCGACGCCGCGUGGGGGAUGACGGCCUUCGGGUUGUAAACUCCUUUCGACCGCGAGGAAGCCACCUGGUUGGAAGGGUGGUGACGGUAGUGGUAGAAGAAGCACCGGCUAACUACGUG
rnacentral:rRNA from 1 species